AUUGAACGCUGGCGGCAUGCUUUACACAUGCAAGUCGAACGGCAGCGCGGGGGCAACCCUGGCGGCGAGUGGCGAACGGGUGAGUAAUAUAUCGGAACGUACCCAGAAGUGGGGGAUAACGUAGCGAAAGUUACGCUAAUACCGCAUACGAUCUACGGAUGAAAGUGGGGGACCUUCGGGCCUCAUGCUUUUGGAGCGGCCGAUAUCUGAUUAGCUAGUUGGUGAGGUAAAGGCUCACCAAGGCGACGAUCAGUAGCUGGUCUGAGAGGACGACCAGCCACACUGGAACUGAGACACGGUCCAGACUCCUACGGGAGGCAGCAGUGGGGGAAUUUUGGACAAUGGGGGGCAACCCUGAUCCAGCAAUGCCGCGUGAGUGAAGAAGGCCUUCGGGUUGU
rnacentral:rRNA from 1 species